GACGGUGAGAGACACUCACUUUGCUUUCUCCGCCGCACGCCGCCGGCCGCCUUGUGUGGAGCAGGGCGCACGCCGCCGGCUGCCUUCUCUCGAGCAGGACGCAUCCUCUCCCGCCACGACGUCUUCUGCCCCCCUCCCCCUUCCCGCACCACCACCACCACCACCACCACAGCCUCACCCCGUCUCCUAUCCCCACGACGGCCUCGCCUCGCCGGCUCUUAUCCCCACCACGGCCUCGCCCCGCCACCUCCUCUCACCACCGCGGACUUGUCUCGCCGCCAACCCCGUGGAUCUUUCCUAGAUCGACUCUGCCGCCGCCAUCAUACUGCCGCAGAGCAGAUCGAGAUGCGAGAUGCUGGACACGAUGCGGGAGCAGGCAUCUUGAAUUGGACCGAGAUCCAGUGCGUCGACCUCACACAGUCUCUCCGGGAAGGAGUUCGCAGCUCGCGUAGGUGUUCGGUUGCUGAAGGUAUGCUGUUCGAUUAGAUGUUGUUAACGCACCUACAAUUAUCAGUGGGGAUUUAGUCAGGUGACAUUUUUAGGCAACCAUGUUGUGAUAAAGCUUCUUAAUUUGUGGAUUUGAGUAUUGGGUGGCUUAAUUUUUCACUAUCAGCUAGCUCUAAUUGAUGUUGAGUCUUUGCUUUUCGAGACGUUGUAGUCUCGCAACCAAGUUGGUAUCUGCACUGUUUCUAUCAGAAAUACACGUGAGUCCAUUCUUUGACAUCUGAACUUUGCUGAUGCUUAUGCCAUUGUAUGCACAACAGGCACCUUCACCACAUUGUCAUUCAUUUGUGAGAUGUUUCUGUUUCUCUAUGUUGGCAUGGAUGCAUUGGAUAUAGAGAUUUGGAAGAUUGUUAGCGGAACACAUAUACAGGUAUGCUAUAUAUCUGCUUCUUUCCAUAUGUGUAGUAACAUAUUCGUUGUUCAAAUGUAUAAUAUGCAGCCUAAUGAAAUGUAUCGCCUUGAGCACCAUUAUAUAGGCGAGAUCUAAUGAGAGGUGCUGUGUGAAUUGCAUUGUCAUACAAUAAGGUAAAGAAUUGCAUUGGCAUACCAAAUCUGUUGAUCAAAUGUGCUUUAGGAAUGCUAUGCAGGGUAAAAAUAAAAAUAAUAGCAUACCAAAUGUACCCUGUUAAGCAUAAAUGCUCUGAGUUAUAUUAGGAGGCAUACCCAUCGUUCUGAAGACUGCUCUUAAUAUAUUCUUCUCUUUUUCAUGUUGUAACAUCUAGAUCAGUCCACUUAUCGGAUUUUAAUUCCAUGUGCUUGGAUGCAUAUUUGAAUAAAUCCUCCAGUCCUUCUAGCUGGUGUACCAAAAAAUGGAAAAAGUAUAAGCAUCACAAGUGAGAAAUAAGAAAAAAAAAGCUUAUUAGAAAAGAUGGGGCAGUAGGAUGAAGUGCAGACCGUAUCAGUGAGGUCCUUGCGGCUCAUGUAUGGGCCUAGCGAGUCGAGCACCUGGACACAUUUUUUUCUGGCAUUUAUAACACAUAGGUACCAGUGAACGUUCUCCAUUUUUAUUGGAAAGUAUACCUGGAGAAAAUGAUUAUUUUAGUUGUACUCGUACGUGGAUGAAUCGGUCAUUGUAGCUGUAAUUCAUCCAAUUAUGUAGGACACAAAGACUAACCAUAUCAUUUUCCAAAUACACUUUGGCUCUGUUUAGUACCCAUGCUGGUGCAGCAUCCAUGUCAUCUGAGGGCAGAUAGCUACCGAUCUUUAUCAUCUUUGAGAUGCAUGCAUUCUCUAAGAACACACUUCCACCUGACCUUACUUGUAGAUGCUCCAUAGCAGUCAUGCAAUUUAUGUACGUAUUUAUGACCUACAAUUAAAAGCAUACAUAGUAUAUUAGAUGACACUGAUAAUCAAAUAGCAUCUUCUAGUCGUAAUGCGAUAAUAAUAAUAAUAUACUCACUUCGUCGCCAACCCAUUCUCCGGGAGUUAGAAGAGAUAGUAAAUGACUUUUUUUCAAAAAUGCGUCGUCGUUGCUCACUAAAUUUCUUUCUUUGCUUGGUUCAGACCGGAUAUUUUCUAUAAUAGACCAAUCAUCGCCACUGCAGGCAUAAUCUGUCACGAUGGCAAUCAUAACAUGUAAUGAUAAUAACACAAAAACAAUAAUGUAGCAGUACAAGGACAUUGAAUGUUUUGUUCCGUGCCUUGUGGAGAAACAACAUAGUCUUGUGCCUUCUUAUGCUUGUUAUGCCGUCGUUUAUGUUUAUUUAUAUGCACGGGCAUUGUUAGCUCGUCCUCUAUAGUCUGAAGCCCUUCCGUGUCCCGUGUUUGUGCCAAUUCCUCAUCCUGAGCUGCCACCAUUUGUUGACUUGUUUCGUUGUGGGUUAGUUUGUGAGAACAAUAUUGAAUGAAUUACCCGUGUGUAGGAUAUAAUAUAAUUAGAAUAAUUUGGGAAGAUAUAGUUGGAAAAGGAAAGUCACCUGUGUAUGCUCAGAAUCUUCAUCCUCUCUGUUUGCUAUGUUUUCUUCAAGAAUAGGUGUAUACUCUGGGCUAUCCAUGCAAUUAUUUUCCUCCACUUCAUUAUUGUUGAGUAUCUCACUUGUUUCGUCAUCGCUAGGUAGCUGAAACCCAUGGUAGUAUAAUAUUAUAAGAGCGUGAAUAUAUUUUUGUAAUGAUAUUGUACUAAGAUAAUUACAAACUGAUCUUUGGCGUUAGACAUGUGGAAAGAAAACUUGCCUCUGUUGAUUCGGGGAUUGUAUAUCCAUCCUUGGUUAUCACAGCAUCAAAAAGCAUGUUUAGUGGACCCUCCCUAAUGGACUCUUGUGUAGCCUUUGUGGAGUCGGGAUCUGUAUCCUCUUGUACGGUUAUCACCUCUUCAACCUGCAUAUUCUCUGUAUCCUCCAUAGUAGAUUCUUCUUGUAUCACCUCUGUCGCCUCGGUGUUUGUAUCCUCGUCUUUCUUUACAUCUUCAAUCUGCAUAUUAUCUAUAUCCUCAUCCUUUGCUACCUUGUUGAUGUUUUCCUGAAAACCCAAGCAUGACAUUUCUAGAUAGAAAACCUUGUAUAGGAAGAAGAGAGAUAUAAUAUGUCAUUACCGUGUCGAUGGCAUCGGCAAUAGUACCGGAUCUGGUUGGAGAUUGACCCGCAUGGGGCACCGAUGACGAUGGCGCCGACAUGGACGAUGAUGGUGCUUCACCAAGGGCUGAUGUGUGCGGCGCGGUGGAGAGACUUGUUGUGGCGGUUUGUUGGGAUGCGGCUGAGAGAUCGUGAGGGGGGUGGAGGAGGGGUCUAAAGUAAUGGUAUCAGGAAAUAUAAGGCAGAAUCGUGAGAGAAAGGAAAUAAGGCAGAAUCGUGGGAGAAAGGAAACUACUAUCGCGAUAAUUGGGGACUCCUGAUUGCUAUCAUCCCCGGAUUUAUCUGGCGCCCAGAAUCUUAUCUUGUGCUUUUUUAUACCCCAGUUUGCCAAAAUUACUGGAGUUAUUUCCGUAGUGCAUUUUAUCUGCAUAAAUAUUGGGUGUGGCCCACCUUCCUUCUGUAACUGCAGGCUGUGUAAUAAUUCAGAGAAGGCACACCCUUUAAAUAUUUGUCAAACUUAAUUUUUUGUUUUUGAAAUUAAGGCAACUGCGGGGACUACCAACAGGCGGCGUACCUGCUACGUGUUGGUGAUGAGCAAGCUAGCCAAGGGGCAGCAUAGUGAAUCGAUGAAGAAGCUGGAAUCCUAAUAGGAGGAAUAUUUUCAACUGGUUUGACGCAUGUUGGAGGAGGUAUUCUCGCCCACUGUGGUUAUCCAGCAUUUUAGCCUGUUACGUGCCUUAUCUUCUUUUCUGAAUUCUAUAUAGUAUAUUCUUUCGAUUUUUUUUCUGUAAAAACAAAGCAUGUGAGCUCAUCUGCUAUAGAUUCGGGAACAACAUAUGUGCAACAUAGUAGUAAUAACGCCUUUUAACUUCAAUAUAUUCCAUGAAUGUCAUAGAUUCUUCCAGUUAUCAUUACAAAUAUAUCAGAGAGCAUAGCACUUAGGCGUUCAAGAACAUCUUUAAUAGAACAGAAUUCUGGCUGCUAAAUUUAGAUAGUACAGAAUAUACAACACAAAGUGUUCCUUAUUAUGGAUGAUCUGACACCAUGACGUGGCAUCAUUCCACCAUCUUCUUCUAUUUGAAAUAGGUUUACAAGUUGGCACAUCUGGAGACCAAUAUAACCACAUUAAAGCCUCAAUUCUCCUGAACACGAAAUAUUUGUCAACCCUGAAUCAGCAGAAAUUAUGAAGUGAUUAGUGCAUGGCAGGACUUACGGCUACUAAAAUGAUAAACUUCUAAGGAGCUUCUUUCAUAAGUUGGGUUUCAACACAAACAUAGUAGGGGAAAAGAAAUAUUGGAAUAAUGCACUUGCCUCAUCUCUCCAAAACAUCUUUGUAGACAAUGUUCUUGGUGCUUUUCCCGGAUUUAUCGACAUCCUUGUUUGGCUUGGCCAAAAUCCGUGUUGUCUCUCUCGACACUCCUCUUGACAAUGCAACAUAUAGCUGACCAUGUGAGAAUACUGGCUCGGGAAGGUAAAUGCCAACAUUUGGGAUGGUCUGACCCUGUGCCUUGUUAAUUGUCAUCGCAAAACUCAGACGGAUGGGGAACUGUUUUCUCUUAAGUUUGAAAGGAAGUGAGAUGUCCUCCGAGGGCGACAUAGGGAUCCUAGGUAUAAACACCCUCUUUCCAGCAUGCUGACCACCAACAAUCUCUGCAUCGAUUGCAUUAUCCUGAAAGGCUUUGAUCAUAAGCCGUGUUCCAUUGCAUAGACCAUUAUGAGGGUCGAGGUUCUGUAGCAGAAUGACCGGGCAGUUGACCUUUAAUUUCAAAACAUGUGGGGGCAAGCCAUUUGGUGUGAUCGAGUUCAAAAAAUCAAUUGUGUAAUUAUUCUGUAGGUCAUCCUCGAUUGAGUCAAAACUAUGGUAUAACUUUUCUUCACCUGGAAACCUGGAGAUCAUCUUGUCAUUCAGGUCAUCGACAUGAUCGUUCUUGGUCGAUAGAAUAGCACGUGCACUCAUGUACUCUCUGGAUGUAGCAUUGGCAUGCAACGAUGGGAAGACAUCUUCGAUGAGCAUGUUAAUAGCUUUUUCAUCCUCGGUAUAGCCAAUGACAAUGUCGUCAGGGAGACGGACAUAGUCGUUGCCAAUUGUCUCUUCAGUUCCAUUGCCUAUCCUUAGGAGGUAUUCCGAGAACCAAGGAUCAGCCUGUGCCCGCAUAUUGCGUGUGAGACGUAUCCUGCGGGUCUUCUCCCAAAGAUAGGAUCUCAGAAGUGUAGCAUCCGUGAUCUGCGCUCUUGUCCCACGUGUCACAACAGGUAGGACCUGCCUGGAAUCACCACCAAAGACGACAACCUUUCCUCCAAACGGCAAAGAACAUUCCAUUAUAUCCUGUAGUGAUCUAUCAAGCGUCUCAACUGCUUGACGUUUUGUCAUAGCGACUUCGUCCCAAAUUAUCAAGGAUGCCUGUCUAAGCAACUCCACUGUACCACUUUGUUUUGUGAAACUGCACAUACUAUUGUCAGUGAGCUUGAUUGGUAUUUUGAACCGAGAGUGUGCUGUCCGUCCUCCAGGCAUUAUCGAUGCUGCAAUACCAGAUGUAGCAGUUGCAAUCGCCAUUUGGCCCAUGGAACGCACCUUAGCAAGCAAUGCCUUG
rnacentral:lncRNA from 1 species